GAACCACCUGAUCCCAUCUCGAACUCAGAAGUGAAAGUGCUUAGCGCCGAUGGUAGUGUGGGGUUUCCCCAUGUGAGAGUAGGUCAUUGUCAGGC
rnacentral:rRNA from 1 species